rnacentral:rRNA from 1 species
GAUGAACGCUGGCGGCGUGCCUAACACAUGCAAGUCGAGCGAACGGACGAGGAGUUUUCUUGUAUGGUGUUGGCGGCGGACGGGUGAUGCACAUGUGGUUGGCAUACCUAUAAGACUGGGGUACCUACGCGGAACCGGAGCUACGACCCGAUAAUAUUUUGAACCGCGUGGUUCCAGCGUUGGAUACGCUCGUUCUUACGCUAAUAGCUGGAUCCGCGCUGCAUUAGCUAGUUGGUAGGGUGGCGGCUUACCAAGGCUACGAUGCAGAGCCGACCUGAGAGGGUGAUCGGCCACACUGGAACUGAGACACGGCCCAGACUCCUACGGGAGGCAGCAGUAGGGAAUCUUACGCAAUGGGCGAAAGCCUGAUCGAGCAAUGCCGCGUGAGUGAUGAAGGUCUUCGGAUCGUAAAGCUCUGUAAGUAGGGAAGAAGAGAUGUGUAUGUAUCUGUGCACAUCUUGACGGUACCGAAAGAAAAAGCCCCGGCUAACUCCGUG